rnacentral:lncRNA from 1 species
AGCAGACGGAACAGACAGAGAACAAAGAGAGUCUAUGGAGGGGACAAUGAACUAGGGGAAACUAGGCCUUGGAGAACUGAGAUUUGGGUCUGAGAUGAGAGACUAACUUGAUAAGAAACUUCACAUACUCAUAUGGAUAAUGGCACUGCUUCAGUCACACGGGUUAUCAAUACUCCUGUUGAUAAUCAGAACACAGCGCGCUGGAGCUGAGUCUUGUUCUCAUGUAGAGGCGCCACAAUUCAUCACAGCUACUCAGGAAGAGGUAGCUGUUCUCCCCUGUUUCACAUCAACUCACAGAGAUUUAGAAACCAGAGUGAAAUGGACAAAACUUUCACCUAAACCUGAGGACAUCUUGGUGUGGCCUGAUGAUCCAUCUGUGGCCCAUAAGUCAGAACGUGUGGCCUUCGAGUCGGGAGCGGAUGGUGUGGUGGCUGGAAACCUGUCCCUGUCUCUAAGAGAUAUAAGGAAAUCUGAUGAAGGGCUUUAUAGCUGCAAGGUCUGGCAGGGAUGGAGUUGUGUCAUGGUGAAAAACAUCACUCUAAAAGUGAAAGAAUGCAAAAUCCUACAUUCAGUUAUGGCAGCACCCAAUGGAAUAGCUACCCUGCCUUGCCUGUUGAACAUGACAACAGGAAAGCCCCAAAUAUCUUCGGUGUCCUGGGCAGAGAUCAAGGGAGACAGUGAGAUCCAAAUACUUCAAUACCCUACAGAUAUCUCCAACCAAACAUUCCUAGGAAAAAGGGUGAGCUUUAGAGGAAAUCUCAGUUCAGGAGAUGCAUCUUUGGCUCUCUCCAUGGUGGAGUACAGUCACAGCCAAUGGUACAGAUGUAGGUUGCAGAUGGGACAAAAUGAACGCUGCUUUGAGGUCAAGCUACAGGUUAAAGAACAGGAAGAGGAGAACCUGGUUCUAAGGACUUCCACCACAACUGAACUAGCAAACCCUGCAGUUACUGCCAGUCAGAGUCCAGAAAGAGAUGCGACCGCUACGGCUGGAACGGCUACUAUAGUGGCUUCAUCCAUGUGUGUGAUUGUCAUAAUGGCUCUUACGCUGGGCUUGAUCAUCUUCCUCAGACGCCGCAGACACUCAGAUGAAGAUGAGUCUGACUGGAAUACUUAUGAAGAUGUACAAGACCCAGCAAUGGGACCCAAUUUUCUGUAUUCACUUGCAGAGUUUGACCAGAAGGACGACCUAUGCACUUGACCUGAGCCCUAGGACCAUGCCUCAGGACUACCUGGUAUGAUGACUCCUUGCUGUCCCCAGUCCACCUGGCCGUGCUGCUGCUCCAGUUUCAACUGUUCUGCCUGCAGCUAUGGAACCCUGACCUGUUCACCGGACGUGCUUGUUGCACCCUCGACAACUACUAUGAUUAUUAUUAUUUGACCAUACUGGUCAUUUAUGAACAUUUUAACAUUUUAACAUUUUGACCAUGUUCUGUUAUAAUAUCCACCCUGCACAGCCAGAAGAGGACUGGCCACCCCUCAUAGCCUGGUUCCUCUCUAGGUUUCUUCCUAGGUUUUUGGCCUUUCUAGGGAGUUUUUCCUAGGGAGUUUUUCCUAGCCACCGUGCUUCUUUCACAUGCUUUGCUUGCUGUUUGGGGUUUUAGGCUGGGUUUCUGUACAGCACUUUGAGAAUAUCAGCUGAUGUACGAAGGGCUAUAUAAAAAUAAAUUUGAAAAUUUGAUUAGAUCCGCGUCAUAGCGCGAUUGACAUUUAAAGGCAAUGCUACCUGGUUCGCGGAGAUAGCACUCAUGGUAAAAUGCAUAUGUCAGCUCAAUCGAAAAUGACCUUUAAAUAUCAAGCACGCUAAAAUGCGGAUCUUUCGCGAUCUGGUUUGAAUCUAGCUUCUGGUCACUGUCUGAGUCCAGGUUAAAAUGCUGUUUCUAACAACUUCAGUUCUGUAAUCAAUUAACAUUUAAUUAAAAUGUAUUUAUUUUUAUUUCUUUCAGUUCAAUACCAGUCAAAAGAAUAAUCAUCUUUCAAUCAACACACCAUGUCUUACUUAACCAUACACAAAACAUCUGUAAAUGCUUUUUUAAUGAUAUUCACACACUUAUCUUUCAACCCCUGGUAGAGCCUACAUAGUAUUACACAAUAACACUCUUAGUUGUGAAAUAAUCAAAUGGAUUAGGUGACCUUUUGUAUUUAGCUUGAUUUGAUUGGACAUAUUCCUUUAUUUGUGACCCCAUGGUGGAACAACUUGUGUUGAUGCUUUUCUACACCACAGGAUGUUUGUAUUCUUGUAUUUAGCUUGAAUUGAUUGGAUAUAUUCCUUUAUUUGUGACCCCACGGUGGAACAACUUGUGUUGAUGCUUUUCUGCACCAAAUGAUGUGUAGUUGGGAGCUGUUCCAGACAGAGACAUGCUGUUCUGGGGUUUUUACUUGUAUUGCCAAUGCUCACACUCUGCCAUCCUGUAUUAAAUAAACACACUUAUCUGUUCACUCAUGUAUUAUGUGUCUUGUCACAGUCCCAUACAUCUACACAGUUGUACAGUGCUGAAGAGAAGCUACCAGGUUUCAUGUGGGAUGUGAAAGUCAGCAGAGUGAUUUAAGACGAGGUGGGGUGACUUAGCCAUCAACCUCCACACUGAGGAGUCAUACUGAAUGUGUUCCUGAAACCAACAUGUGGUUUUUACUGUGGUAACUGGUGAUACUCUGUAGAGGUUGUUUUCUUUUUAACUACCUGCAUAGACUUGUUGUCAUGGUGACACUUAUAAUGUUCCAAAAUAUCAAGGGAAAUCCAAACCACAAAACAAUGCAAAGUACAAAGUAGUCAAAUUAGAUUUAAAACUCAACUAAUAGCCUAAAGAUGGAGGACAUGACAUUACACUCAGUUCACAGCCUGCAGAAGAUCAUAGAAACUGUUAGUUACUCCAGAAGGUUGAAUUGGUUGAUCUUGAAUCUCGUCAUAGAUAUGAGUCUGCGAAGAAAAUAUGGAAUGUGUAAAACCAGUUCAAUUUAGUUCACCAACAUGGCAAAAGGGUUAGAAGACGUUUAGACAAAUUUGAUGUCACGUUGUACUCAAAUGGGCUUCACCUGUUAGUGAAUUACAUAGUUGUGUUUUAUUGAAUCCUUACCAUUCCAACAGGCGUCUGCUGUUCUCCUUCUAUAGGCAAAGAGGGAC